rnacentral:lncRNA from 1 species
UGAAUUGAAAAACGUUUUUAAGUCACCCUUUUUCUUUAAAGUUGGCAUGAAAUGGGGAACCCUGAGAUGGAUCUUCUAGCAGCACAAGCACUUAAUACAGAAGCUCGAGCGGACAACACAGAGCAUCUGAUUCCAGCUGCACACAGUUUAGAAGAGCAGUUCUGCCCGUCAGAUGUCAGUCCAAGCAGUGAGAGGUAUUUUGAAGAGAGAAAACACCUGGAAGAGUUUAUAACAAGCAUAGAUACGAUAACCCUACAAAACCUGCAGACGGUCAUUGAUCGAAUCCUGGUCUUUCACGAGCGGACGCAGAUGCCUCUGUCUAGUCCGGCUCGACUGGGAGAGCAGGAGCUGUUUCCGGGGAGCGGGCUCUACCUGCCGCACUACAAACUGGCGUCCGUGCUGCAGGAGUCCCGGCAGGACAGCAUGAGACUCUUCCACCUGCUGUUCGAGCACUUCUUCAGCGAGGAGGAUCUUAACGGGGCCGUCGCUUUUGGGAAGAGGGGAAAAGUCCCUGACGGGAAAAAGAUCUUGGACAGAAGAAGAGUGGAUGGGAUUAUGUGUAAGUAUUUGAAAUGGGACAGCCAGCUUUUACUGAUCAUCUCAGAACGAUUUGGG